CAUUUCAUGUCACUUAAUUCUUUUUAAUGAAGGCCAUUCAUCAAAUGGAUGUCUAAAUGUAAUUUCAUUUUCACACCUGUGUAAGCUUUUGUCUAUGAAAGAAUUUGUAAAUUGGAAUGCAUACCCUGGUUUUAGAUUGGAUGAUAUGGGUACAAAGUCGCCAUAUCAAUGUGCUUUUUAAGAUAGAAGUCUUCCAUUUGGGAGUACAGAUGGGUUCAAGGAAACCAAAGUCAUGGCAUUUUUUUGUACAGUUUUGCUUUGGUCAAUGAUUCCUGUUCACCUACUUCCAUCCUACAUGUAGGAGGUAUAUAGAUAUCUCUGCCCAACACAAAGUGAAAACCAACAAUUCUGUCAUAGGACAUGUCACAUAUGUUAUUUAGUCUCACGCUUGUGUCAUUUAAGAAUGUAUUUCAUGGAGAAGGGGAGCUUUUAGAGCCUUUUUAGUCAGCAGUUCCAGGACCAUUAGCAUUGCUUGGGAUUUUGUUAGAAAUGCAGAGUCCUUGGUCCCACCCCACACCUACUAAAUCAGAAUCUACUUUGGAACAUGCUCCUUGAGUGAUGUGAAUGCUCCUGACCUGCAGACUGUACUUUGAGUAGCAAAGCUUUCAACUGGGGUUCCUCAUCUGAAGCCCCACAACACAGAAAAUGACUUGACAGGCUAUUUUCUCAGUUUUCCAAAAUUGGUACUUGAGUAGGACAUUCUAGAUGCAGAGGUAAGAAGUUAACUUCCUACAUACAAGUGAUACCUCUGAGGAUUAGGGUUUAGCUAAUUCUCUUAGGGGUCUUCAAUCAGGAAAGGCAUCCAGAAUCCUGAACUUGAAGAAGAAUUUGAUUAUAUUGAAACUUCAUUAAGUGUGAACACACUGACCGAGGUAGGUGUGAGCUUGUAACCUGACUAUGAGAUGGGUGGCUUCCCGUUGGUGAAUCUUUGUUUUUCUUCCAAAUUAUCAGAAAACAUAACCAGCUUUGUACAAACUGAAGCCUUCUUGAAAGUUUAGCAGACUUUGCAUGCCCGAUUUACAGACCCAAACGGUGCAGAACUAGCUGUGGCUGAGUUAAGUAAAUAAAAGCACAGCACAUGUUUUCCAUGGCUCCACAUAUAGACUAGAUUUAAGUAACUUCAGACUCCAAAGAUAUUUUUCUCAGACACCUAAAAUCAAAGUCGCUUUUUGUGUGUGUGUGCCAAAGUGUAGCACAGCUGCCAGAAAGGUGGUAAUAGGAAAGAUGAAAUUCUUCCAUGCUCUGGGCCCAUGAAAAUUGGGCUGUAAUCGACAUUAUUUGGCAACUUUCUCCAUUAGCAUUCGUUAUGGCAGUCACAUCUGUCCUGCGCGUGUAAGUGUGUGUGAGAUUGGAUCUGGGGAAAGAAGAAACGUCUUUGAGCAGGAGGCAGCAUUUGGCCUCACUACCUGGAGUAAGAAAUCAGAGAACUCAGAGGCACAUUAACAGCCGGGGACUUCUGACGGUGACCUCCUACAAAAUUGGAUCAGGCUUUUCCCUGGCAGUUGUAUUAAGCACACAUAUUUGAUGAAAUGUGCUUCUUGAAGCUGGCAUAUUUGACUGCUUUCUUUCUUUCUUUCCUUUUUUUCCUUUUUUUUUUUUUUUUUUUCUGGGGGAAUAGAUUCUUUAUUAUCUGCUGAAUUCAUUUCACUCUGUCAAUAUUCUAUAGAAAAAUGAUGGACAUUCUAUAAUUUUGACUUUUAUAUUAAUUCAUAAUUUUGAUGGCUCUACCUUAGGGCUGCUUUUCUCUCUUGCAGCCUUUCCUUCUCCUCCCUCCUGCCCCUGAAUUGGUCCUCUGGUUGCUCCAUCCGGCAGCUAAGCUUAUGACAGCUGCGUCUCUCCUUAUUGCCUCAGUGAACUGCGGGUCUUUUUUCAUAUUAAACCCACACUCACGGCAAUGAAAUUCAGAUUUAUAGCUGGAAAUCAGCCUAUUUGUAAUAUAAAACAUAAACAUUGGAGCCUUUGAAAAAGCUAAAGAAUUUUUUUUUCCCUGCUUUGUAUUUUUCCUUCCUUGGAACUUCAUGACUUGAGUCCCAAACAAGCGCUAUUUUAAAAUUCUCUGGCACCAUGUAAUAUAAUUGAUAAUAGUGUUUAAGCAGCAUCUCAUAUCAUCCAGCAUAGUGCAAAGUGAGCCAUCCUAGGAUAUGAGCUUAAAAAAUUGCAUUAACACUUAGACAAAAUGAAAUUUUUAUACUUGAUUUGCUCAUGGUUGGACGGAUGCAACUAAACACAAUUUGAGCUGUCACUUUGCAAAGGGGAAAAAAAUAUGCAACUUUGGAAUGUUUCAAAUGAGCCCAAUAUUAGAUUCUAUAACUCAGAGUGACACAGGAAAUACUAUUUGCAACAUGAUUGGUUCAUUAAUAUUUGGUAAUUGUAGUACAUCAUUUUAAGGGGGAAAUAAAAUGCAAACAAAUGUUUGCAGCUUCCAGUCAGUCACUGCUGCUCAAGUGCCACCAGCAGGAAAGGUUUGGGAGCGAAGGGAUAACGUGCACUGGGAGGUUAUAUUUUCCCCUCCCCAUUUUCAUUUUGGAAGAAUAAUUUUCCUCAUAAACCAACAUGUCAGACAAAGCAUCUACAUUUUAAAAAAAAAUAUUAUUUCACAAUUUUCCACAUGCACAUUUGAUGUAAACCCUGGAGGUGUAUUCCCUGAGUACCUAUUACCUCCAUUUUAGGGAAAUUACAUUAAAUUAUUAGUGACAAAUUUACUUGUCUGCCAAUGUAUUUUUCUGGAAUUUUACUACAACAUCAAUACUUGGCUGUUUUCUAUGGGCCCUCAUUUACCUGUCUUUGAAGGCAGCCACUCCUUGGGGAGCCCUGUCUGUCACUACCCGAAGCUGGAAAAAGUCUUUAACAUUCGCCGUUUCGAAUUAGACGGAAAAAUAUGUUGUGCUUUAAAAAGGUGAUGUGCCCUUCUGGAUUUGACAAUUAGGCAACUUGUUGUGUAAUCUAUUGUCUCACUUUUUGGACAGGGAGGAAACAACCCAGGUCGUCACAGGUGCCGGAGCGUGAACAGUGGACGUCGUCUCUGGGUGUAAAAUGCGUCUGCCAGGGACUGACAGCAAAAUGGGGAGAGAGGGUCACAUUUUGUGUGUUUAUUUUAGGGAAAUCAGUGCAGAGAAGAUUUACUCCGAUGCCAGUGAGCCUGGAGCUUCCAGGUCCCUCACUUGCAAGGCGCCCUUAGUGGCUUAGGAGGCGUGGAGAGUUCUGGGAUGUGGGGGGAAGACAGGUGUCAUCAGGGGAAAAAAAAAAUCCCAGAAAAAGAGGGAUCUGAAUGGUGAGAGCCCAGCUCUGGGUUGUGAUUUAUUUUCUCAUUUUAAGUAAAUAUUAACACCAGAAGCUUACUGCAGACUGCUUUCUUACAGAGAGUCCUCUCAGUUCUAUAAGCUUCAGAUCUCGCAAAACCUGGAUGUGUUGCUAAAAUAGAAGGUUAUUUCUCUUGGCAUCCCAGUUGAGGAACAGAGUUCUGGCAAGCGGAAGCAGCCUGUGUGAGAAAGAGAACAAGAGUUACAUCUCAACCUGGGGAGUCCUGUUGCGGGACUAUGUAAGACAGGUGAGCAUGGAGCACAUACAAGGAAAGCUUGAAACAGAAACAAAGGGCGAAUGAAGAAUAAGAAGCAAGAAUGGAAGUCCCGGGGGAGGGUGUAUAGUCAUCUCUCCAUUUUCCCUUUGAUGUAGAAUUCUUCUUCAUUAGAGUGUGCUGAAGCAGCGCUUGGCUCUGAUGACAUUUAAAAUCCUCCUAUCUUAGUCUGUGUCUAGUUCUUUGGUCUGCAUAUUUAUUUUUUCUUUGAGCCUCUUAGGUCGUUUUGUGGAAUAUUUCAGUUCAUUUGUCGUUUAAGAUCCUGGUGGCUUUGAGCUGGUCAAGAACCUCUGUGUCUUAGCUUUCCCCCAAAUAUGCAACUAAUUUGUGAUUAUGGAUAAUUAGCUUGGAGGUGAAGAUCACGCAGAUAUGUGUUUUUUGUAAAUGCUCAGAAAUUAUUUUCCUAAGACGUGUGCAGCUCUAUGGGACUCAAACUUGGACUACUCCCUUUUCUUCCCCGGUCUCUACCAGCCAGGAGCCUCCCUUUUCCAAAGGCCUUCUCCUUCCCUCCUCCCAAAACACAACCAUUUAGAUCAAAUUAACUAGAAUAACUGUUUCAACUGACCUAAAUUCAUCCUCUGCUAUGGCUUGGGAGGUUUGACCUUAAUUAAACCUCUAUUUUGCCGGAGAAUGAGACUGCUGGAGGGGAAGAGCAUAUGAAUUUCUACUUUCAUUUCAGGUGGAACAUUUGUAGCACCUGGGAACAGAUUGUUAAUGAAAUAUUUGUUUUAUCUAGCAGUGCUUUGUCAAGACCUGGAAAUCUGGCAGUUUGGCAAGUCUAAAUGGGAUAUAAUAGCCGGUGCACAGAAGGGAGAUAGUAAGAGGUCACUGCUGGGAGUUCCUGUCAUAGCUCAGCAGAAACGAAUCUGAACUAGGAUCCAUGAGGAUGUGGGUUUGAUCCCUGUCUUGGAUCAGUGGGUUAAGGAUCUGGCGUAGCGCUCAGCUGUGGUGUAGUUCACAAACAUGGCUUGGAUCCUGCGUUGCUGUGGCUGUAGCAUAAGUCGACAGCUGUAGCUCUGAUUAGACGAUAUGGAAGCCUGGAACUUCCAUAUGCUGCGGGAGAAAUAAAUAAAUAAAUAAAUAAUAAAAUAAAAUAAAGAGGUCAGUACUGCUUAAGGAGAUAUGUGAGGUAAUUAUUCAGGACAGCAUGGAGGAGAUCUGUGGACCGUAAGAGAGUAGGACUUCCUAACUCUUGCCCAAAUUCCCUUCCUCAAUCUUUGUCCUUGAUGCCAGGCAACUAAAAUGCGUUAAUACAUUUGGUGAUCACAGCCACCCUAUGGGACAGAUACUAUGAUCCUUUCUUUUUCCAAGAGGAGACCAAAGUGUACCAUUGACCAGAAGAGACAACGUCACCUAACAGUCCAGCCAGGAUUCCCACAAACUGGUUCUUCACUCAGAGAUCCAGUACAUUUCUUCUCUGCUCUGUCCCCUUCUUGUCACCUGCUAAGUCCGAAUGUUGAGCUAGUUUGAAAUUUUUACUCUUAAUGCUUUGGCCAGUUUUAGAAUCUCUUGAAUAGCAGUCUUUGAGUAUAGUGUCCAAAGUUGAAUAAAGAACAAUUAAUAAAUAAAGAUGCGACUGAUCUAACUUUGGUACCCUAAGGCACUGCCUUUAUUGAGGGGAAAGGGAUCAGUGAUGAACUUGGGAAGGAAAGGCAACCCUGCAGAAAAUUUGGCAGACGUAAAGGCUCCCCCUUAAGCUGUAUCAACUCAAGGAGCAAAGUGUGAUAUGUUUGUUCAUAGUCUUUCAAACCAGAGAUUCUUUAUUCAAAAGAAACGUUUAGAAAUUGUUAGGCUGUCCUAACUAUUGAGAUGUUAUUGCUAACAUCUCCUACAGCUCCACCUCUGAUGGCUCAUGAAGUUUCGUGAUUACUUUAAACCAAACAAAAAAUUUGUGAAGAAGGUUGGAGUUGGUGAGUGACAGCCACCCAGUGGAAAUGUCGUCAAAACCUUUCAGUUUUGUUUUUCAUUUAUUGCCCUAAGAGCAAUAUUUAUGUUUCUUUGACAUUUGAAAUCAAUGCUUCCAUUUAUAAAUCUCAACCCGAGAAACAGAUGUAUGCUAUUACACUUAUGCUUUUGUCUUAGGAUGCAACCAAAACAGAACAUUCUUUUGCUGUUCUUGCCAGUAUCCUGGGUACCCCCCACCCAUUGAAUGCAGUUGUAGCGCUAGGAUUUUAAAGACUGUGGGUUAAAUUGACCAGUUGGAUAAGAAUUAAAUAUUUAUUGAAGCCUACUAGUGUGCUAGGUAUUUCGGAGAUACAGAAGUAUAGCCAUGCUCCUACAUGUAGUCAAAGAAACAAUCAACAGUAAGGUUGAUAGAGCCUCAUAUGAUUAAAAAAAAAUGUUUGAGUGUGGGCUGGAGACUGUUGUGGAUGCUCAGAGAAAGUGUGUGGGAACCUGUGGCAGGUCUGUGGGUGGGAGUUGGGUUUGGUUAGCAGAAAAUGGUGUAGAGCUUUUUCUGAGAAGGGAUAGGUAAGGCAGGAGGUAGGAAUAUCCUGCAGGAUGCAGCUGAGUCUGGGAAUCAAGAAGAGGAAGAAAUAAAUUUGGAAAGGGAAAUAGAGAACUCUAUAAACCGUGUGGGUAUUCAUCCUGAGGCAUUAAAAGAACUCCAACUACCUGAGUUCAAAAAAGGUAAAAGUAUUGAUAGAAAUGCCAAGAGCUUUAUGGACCUAUAGUUUUAUUUUCCCCAUGCUGCUCAUUUCUACUAAUUUUUGUAUAAAUUUACGUAGAAUUUAGAAGGUGUCCUUGUCUUGAGCCUUCUCAUAAGAGGGGUUUUAUAUUUAAUUUUUCUUAGCUUUUCAUCUUAACCAUCCAUUGAUGUGAAUCUGGUCAAUGACUUUAUAGACUAGGACAUUGGUGCUUUAAAAUAUGCUCUUCUUUUUUUCUUCCCAUAAGCAUCCUCUAACUUAUCCAUGGUGGUCAGCUGUGACAGGUCAUACAUAGUGCCAUCAGUCAUGCCCUGUGUUACAUCUUAGACCAGUAUUCUGGUUGAGAAAAUGUGAUCCUCUGAGCUACUGAGAGAAAGCAGCAGAAAAUGAGUGGUGCUGGGGGGUGGGGAGGAGCGGGGAUCCAGGAUUGAAUCAAAUGGCACCAAAGAUAAAACGGGUCCAUCUGGCAUCUUUGGGACCAAUCUUAGUUUGAGGGUUCUCCUUCACCUUCAAAGACGUGACAGAGCUCACUUAGCCUUUUUUAAAAAUUCAAACUGUUUCCAUCAAGAGGACUCUCUGUCAGGUAGAAAACAAGAGAGUUGGAAUCGCAAUCAUCUCUUCAUGGCUUGAAAUCUACAUAUGAGUCUUUAAAAAGUGCUUCUCGGGAGUUCCCUGGUGGCACAGUGGGUUAAGGGUCUGGCGUUGUCUUUGCUGUGGUGUGG
rnacentral:lncRNA from 1 species